rnacentral:lncRNA from 1 species
GGUUCAGCUUGACAAGAACACACCACACACAGCUAAAGAAGAGACUCAUGAUCAAGACAAGGGCAGACGUGACCCCUGUGAGCUAUGUAGCUGGGGGCACUUUGCCAUUUGUAAAUGGCUGGAACUGGGUCCAUCAAUGGUGCCAUUGAAUAACUGAUGCAUAAAAAUGGCCUCAUACCAAUCAGAAAAUGUGAUAAUAUGGUAUUUUUAAAGCAAAAGAAUGAUAAAUGUUAAAUGUAUAAA